rnacentral:rRNA from 1 species
UGGGGAAUUUUGCGCAAUGGGGGAAACCCUGACGCAGCAACGCCGCGUGGAGGAUGAAGUCCCUUGGGACGUAAACUCCUUUCGAUCGGGACGAAUUAUGACGGUACCGGAAGAAGAAGCCCCGGCUAACUACGUGCCAGCAGCCGCGGUAAUACGUAGGGGGCAAGCGUUGUCCGGAUUUAUUGGGCGUAAAGAGCGUGUAGGCGGUUUGGUAGGUCCGUUGUGAAAACUCGAGGCUCAACCUCGAGACGCCGAUGGAAACCAUCAGACUAGAGUCCGGAAGAGGGGAGUGGAAUUCCUGGUGUAGCGGUGAAAUGCGCAGAUAUCAGGAAGAACACCCGUGGCUAAGGCGGCUCUCUAGUACGGUACUGACGCUGAGACGCGAAAGCGUGGGGAGCGAAC